AGAUCACUGCCUUUAAAUCCCUGACCAGCGGAUCAGAGUGGAUCAAGAGGAGCUCUACGCUGCGGAGAUUUGGAACGGGGGAGGAGGGAGGGCACCAGAGAACACAGUCAAGUCACCAUUUAAGACCCUGCAGUGCAACCAGCAUUCAGACCAGCCAGGCAGCGCAAUUGGAAGACAGUCCUCCUGCCCACAGGAGAGCUGGAAGCAAGGUCUACUGCCCACGAAUCCUGUGAUGUGUACCCAGCAAGUGACUGUGAGAUUCCCAGGAACUGAAAACAAAUUCUGCUUUGUGUCAGUCUGUGUUUAUAGGUAGUCCCCAGAGCUGUAUUGCUGCAAAAAUCGACGUGUCUCCUGCCGACAGAAGAGAACAGCUUGAGAACAGGUUGUAGCCAGUGUAAUCCUGCAAGAAAAGGAAAUGAAGACACAGAGAAAUUAGGAAAACGUGUCCACACAAGGACCUGUACUGGGAUGUUCAUGGCAGCAUUAUUCAUGAUGGCCUUAAAGUGGAAACGACCUAAAUGUCUACCCAUUGCUGAAGGGAUGAGGAAAAUACAGUGGAAUGUUACGGAGUAAUAAAAAGGAACAAAGGUAUGAUACAUGCUACAGCAUGUUAGAACCUCAAAAACAUUAUGCUAAGCGACAGAAGCCAGACAGGAUAGACUGCUUACAGUUUAUAGGAAAUGCCCAGAAAGGGCAAAUCUACAGAGACAGAAGGUAGAUUAGUGGUUGCCUGGGCCUGGAGGUAGUAAUGGGGAUUGACUGCUAAUGGGCAGGAGGGAUCUUUUGGGGGUGAUGGAAAUGUUCUAAAACUGGAUCCUGGUGAUGGCUGCACAGCUGUGUAAAUUUACUAAAAGUCACUGCAUU